UACGUAGGCAGCGAGCGUUGUUCGGAGUUACUGGGCGUAAAGGGUGUGUAGGCGGUUCUCUAAGUCUGGUGUGAAAUCUCCCGGCUCAACUGGGAGGGUGCGCCGAAAACUGGAGGGCUAGAGUGCGGGAUGGGUAAGUGGAAUUCCUGGUGUAGCGGUGAAAUGCGUAGAUAUCAGGAGGAACACCUGUGGUGUAGACGGCUUACUGGACCGCAACUGACGCUGAAACACGAAAGCGUGGGUAGCAAACAGG
rnacentral:rRNA from 1 species